UAUCAUUAACUGAAUCCAUAGGUUAAUGAGGCGAACCGGGGGAACUGAAACAUCUAAGUACCCCGAGGAAAAGAAAUCAACCGAGAUUCCCCCAGUAGCGGCGAGCGAACGGGGAGGAGCCCAGAGCCUGAAUCAGCAUGUGUGUUAGUGGAAGCGUCUGGAAAGGCGCGCGAUACAGGGUGACAGCCCCGUACACAAAAGCGCAUGUGCUGUGAGCUCGAUGAGUAGGGCGGGACACGUGGUAUCCUGUCUGAAUAUGGGGGGACCAUCCUCCAAGGCUAAAUACUCCUGACUGACCGAUAGUGAACCAGUACCGUGAGGGAAAGGCGAAAAGAACCCCGGCGAGGGGAGUGAAAAAGAACCUGAAACCGUGU
rnacentral:rRNA from 2 species